GACGAAGGUGGCGAGCGUUGUUCGGAAUCACUGGGCAUAAAGCGCACGUAGGCGGCGACGUAAGUUGGGUGUGAAAUCCCUCGGCCCAACCGAGGAACUGCGCCCAGUACUGCGUUGCUUGAGGAUCCAAGGGGUGCAUGGAAUUCCCGGUGGAGCGGUGAAAUGCGUUGAUAUCGGGAGGAACUCCGGCGGCGAAAGCGGUGCACUGGUGGAUUUCUGACGCUGGAGGUGCGAAAGCCAGGGGAGCAAACGGG
rnacentral:rRNA from 1 species